GUUUCCUGUCGGCUGUGGUUGGCUGGCGUGGCUCGGCAGCGGCGCAAGUUCCGGACAGGCGUCGGGCGGCCGGGCGGGGCCGGUGUCUGGGCGGGGUCGGGGACCCGCGAAAAACAACUCCGUCCCGAAGACCACGUUUAAAAAACACUCAGUUAACUCGAGGACUCUUUUCCCCGCUGAAGCCAUGGAAGGAGCCAGAGACUCGGAAUCCAUUUGUGCCCGUGGAGAACCCAUUGGCCUGACGUCUGUUAGGGCGCCUCGGAGGCGAAGUGCUUUACGACUGGCCGUGCUUUUCAGGCCGUAAACCGUCGGCCGUCGGCGGGCAGGUGCGGGGCGUCCGCUGUCCCCCACGGCGCCGGCUCGGGGCGGGGGGAGGCGGGUCCCCGACGAGCGCAGGGGCCAGUGCCAGAGGGGGUCUGUGCAGAUGGGCAGACGUCAGGCCGGCACGCGGGGAGCUUGGGGGAGGGCGCGGAGACCCCGCUGCCGUCAGAGCGCGCUGACCGGAAGUGUGCCCGCCUCUGCCGCGCUGCCGCGUCACGCUCCCGCGUGCGCACGGACUGUGCCCUCGAGAGGACCUGAACCGGGGUUCGCGAGCGGUGUGUCACGUCCGUGCUCUGCUAGCCCUGCGCGGGGCGCGCGGCGAGGCCGCAUCCUUGCUCGCGGAGAGGUCAGGUCGGCCUGCGCAGUGACGAAGCGCGGGCGCGCACCGCAGUCGGCUGGGCGAGGGGCUGGAAACGCUGGGCCCGGGGCCGAGACCAGGAAGGAAUUCUCGAGACAGCUUUGGUGCGAGAAGGGGAAUUUGUUAAAGCACAGGGACAGGACCUAAGGGCGGAGAGCUGCCGCGGGGUCGUGAGCGGCCCGUUACAGACGUUCGGGUGGGGUGGAGUAGCCGCAGGCUCUCAGACGUUUGCAAGCAGGUUUCCGGGACCUGCAGGCGCAGCUCCUGAUGAGAAGGGGUCAUUUAUUAGGGUCUGCUAAAACCCGAGUCAUGAGACCCUUCCGAUGUGCACCAGUGAGCCGUGUGCUUGGGGGUGAUUGUCAGCAUGUGGAUUGGGGGGAAUUCCAAAGGAAUUCCUGUAUGUUUAAACCUGACCCAGGAUUCUGGGGGGUCAGGCCAACUUUGUCCUCAGCGAAGUGUCCAGGCAGCCAGGCUCCCAGAGGAAAGCCCUUCUCCCUGUUUGAAGGACUUGUCGGUGGGCUGCCAGUAGUAGGGAAGUUUAGUUUUUAUUUUGCCUUUGUUUCCCACAUCAAAGGGGACGAGGCGAUUUCAUGCUUUAAGAAGUCGGGGAAGGUUUUGCAAGAGAGGGAAUCAACCUGAAGUGUGGAAGAGAAGGAGGAACUCUUUACCGGGGAGAAGACCCUUCCAGACGGGGAACUACUUGUGUCAGAUUCUCUGCCUGUGGUCGCAGGAUUUCAUCCGCUUGAGGUUCAGUCUCCUCAUCUCUCAGAUUCAGCAGUCACUGUCCCCUACAGGCCAACCACUAGAAGAUGCUGGAAACACUACACUAGGGUUUUCAUAAUCAUUACCCGGUGGCGGGUAGGGAGCAUGGGAAGCAAGUGAAGUCGCAAGCCUGCGAAGAAUGUGAAAACCCACACGUAGAAUGAAGCAAGGUCACUGGCUUCCGGAAGGUCUCAGUCACUCUUCCCAUGUAGCAGUAUCCGAUCUGUAGACAUGAGUGUCCUUUCAGGUGGAUGAGAGCAACACCAUUCUCAUGAGCCUUCACGAAGCAUGUACAGGAUGAAAGAAGUAACGUGACAUUGGGAACACACUAGUGUAUCAGACCAGAUAGAAGCAGCACGCAGUGUUCACAGCCCCCCCCACCCACACACGGCGUCAUUAUUUCCAGUUUUCAAAUGAGAGAACAGACUGGAGGCAACUCACCGAACGUAUACAGGUAGUAAACUGUAGAGCUGGAAUUUGUCGUCCCUUGUGUGUGAGCUGCACAGGUCAGGGCUGGGGGAGAACGGGAGGGGUCUGGGGAACAGGAUUCAUGCACGCACUCCAUUUCGACCCUCGGUCCUCCAGUGUGCUCAUCCCAUGCACUCCACAAGUCCCACAACCCUUCUGCGGGUGUAGCACACCAGUAACCAUGCCCCCAUUACCAAGGGCCUCCGGAGGUUGAGGAAGGUGACUGACAGCCCUGCGGACCUGCUGGUCCUCCGCUACCACACUUUGCUGGUAUUGUUCUUGC